rnacentral:lncRNA from 1 species
ACACACACACACACACACACACACACACACACACACCUCACAUAGCUAAAUUAGAAAACAUGGUUUUCAAUUUUAUAAAAUUACUGAUUGUUAAUGGGUAAAAAUUCAUUUUUCUUUUAAUAUAUGAAAUAUUAUUUAUGCCCCUGAAAUAUGCCCCUGAAAUAAGCUAAAGUUAACUGUGUUUCUGUCAAAACUAAAUUUACUUAUGACCGAUGUGUACAUUAGCAGUUAUUAGUUGACUUUUAAAAUAAAACGCAACCUCACGAUGAUGUUUUUGUAGAAAUUAAGUAGUCAAAUCGUGGCGUUUCUUGCAGUUUUGUACAGUAUUUGAGUAGAGUGCAAACCAGGUCUGUUCACAACAUCAAUAAAAGGAGCACCUUCUGGAAACAAACUCUCAGCAAAAAAACAAAAACAAAAACAAAAACAAAAAAAAAAAACAAAAACAACAACAACCAAAAAAAAAAAAAAAAAACCUCGCUGUUCUUUGCCUCAUUCAGCUGCCCCGUUUUCUAUUCAAGUAUGAUUUCACUGUGUGUUUUUGCAUGAUUUGUACUCAUACCAGGGUCACAGCUUCAUCCUACUAACAGAAUUCGCUCUGAAGACAACCUUGACCUUAAAACCUUCCUCACG